GAACGCUAGCUACAGGCUUAACACAUGCAAGUCGAGGGGCGGCAUGGUCUUAGCUUGCUAAGGCCGAUGGCGACCGGCGCACGGGUGAGUAACACGUAUCCAACCUGCCGUCUACUCUUGGACAGCCUUCUGAAAGGAAGAUUAAUACAAGAUGGCAUCAUGAGUACACAUGUUCACAUGAUUAAAGGUAUUCCGGUAGACGAUGGGGAUGCGUUCCAUUAGAUAGUAGGCGGGGUAACGGCCCACCUAGUCUUCGAUGGAUAGGGGUUCUGAGAGGAAGGUCCCCCACAUUGGAACUGAGACACGGUCCAAACUCCUACGGGAGGCAGCAGUGAGGAAUAUUGGUCAAUGGGCGAGAGCCUGAACCAGCCAAGUAGCGUGAAGGAUGACUGCCCUAUGGGUUGUAAACUUCUUUUAUAAAGGAAUAAAGUCGGGUAUGCAUACCCGUUUGCAUGUACUUUAUGAAUAAGGAUCGGCUAACUCCGUGCCAGCAGCCGCGGUAAUACGGAGGAUCCGAGCGUUAUCCGGAUUUAUUGGGUUUAAAGGGAGCGUAGAUGGAUGUUUAAGUCAGCUGUGAAAGUUUGCGGCUCAACCGUAAAAUUGCAGUUGAUACUGGAUAUCUUGAGUGCAGUUGAGGCAGGCGGAAUUCGUGGUGUAGCGGUGAAAUGCUUAGAUAUCACGAAGAACUCCGAUUGCGAAGGCAGCCCUGCUAAGCUGCAACUGACAUUGAGGCUCGAAAGUGUGGGUAUCAAACAGGAUUAGAUACCCUGGUAGUCCACACGGUAAACGAUGAAUACUCGCUGUUUGUGAUAUACAGCAAGCGGCCAAGCGAAAGCGUUAAGUAUUCCACCUGGGGAGUACGCCGGCAACGGUGAAACUCAAAGGAAAUGACGGGGGCCCGCACAAGCGGAGGAACAUGUGGUUUAAUUCGAUGAUACGCGAGGAACCUUACCCGGGCUUAAAUUGCAGAUGAAUUACGGUGAAAGCCGUAAGCCGCAAGGCAUCUGUGAAGGUGCUGCAUGGUUGUCGUCAGCUCGUGCCGUGAGGUGUCGGCUUAAGUGCCAUAACGAGCGCAACCCUUGUUGUCAGUUACUAACAGGUUCUGCUGAGGACUCUGACAAGACUGCCAUCGUAAGAUGUGAGGAAGGUGGGGAUGACGUCAAAUCAGCACGGCCCUUACGUCCGGGGCUACACACGUGUUACAAUGGGGGGUACAGAGGGCCGCUACCACGCGAGUGGAUGCCAAUCCCAAAAACCUCUCUCAGUUCGGACUGGAGUCUGCAACCCGACUCCACGAAGCUGGAUUCGCUAGUAAUCGCGCAUCAGCCACGGCGCGGUGAAUACGUUCCCGGGCCUUGUACACACCGCCCGUCAAGCCAUGGGAGCCGGGGGUACCUGAAGUGCGUAACCGCGAGGAGCGCCCUAGGGUAAAACUGA
rnacentral:rRNA from 1 species